rnacentral:rRNA from 1 species
UGGGGAAUUUUGGACAAUGGGCGAAAGCCUGAUCCAGCAAUGCCGCGUGUGUGAAGAAGGCCUUCGGGUUGUAAAGCACUUUUGUCCGGAAAGAAAUCCUUGGCUCUAAUACAGUCGGGGGAUGACGGUACCGGAAGAAUAAGCACCGGCUAACUACGUGCCAGCAGCCGCGGUAAUACGUAGGGUGCAAGCGUUAAUCGGAAUUACUGGGCGUAAAGCGUGCGCAGGCGGUUUGCUAAGACCGAUGUGAAAUCCCCGGGCUCAACCUGGGAACUGCAUUGGUGACUGGCAGGCUAGAGUAUGGCAGAGGGGGGUAGAAUUCCACGUGUAGCAGUGAAAUGCGUAGAGAUGUGGAGGAAUACCGAUGGCGAAGGCAGCCCCCUGGGCCAAUACUGACGCUCAUGCACGAAAGCGUGGGGAGCAAACAGGAUUAGAUACCCUGGUAGUCCACGCCCUAAACGAUGUCAACUAGUUGUUGGGGAUCAUUCCUUAGUAACGUAGCUAACGCGUGAAGCUGACCGCCUGGGGAGUACGGUCGCAAGAUUAAAACUUAAAUGAAUUGACGGGGUCAUAGCUGUUUCCU